rnacentral:rRNA from 1 species
GUGAGUAACACGUGGGCAAUCUGCCCUGCACUCUGGGACAAGCCCUGGAAACGGGGUCUAAUACCGGAUAUGACUGUCCAUCGCAUGGUGGAUGGUGUAAAGCUCCGGCGGUGCAGGAUGAGCCCGCGGCCUAUCAGCUUGUUGGUGAGGUAGUGGCUCACCAAGGCGACGACGGGUAGCCGGCCUGAGAGGGCGACCGGCCACACUGGGACUGAGACACGGCCCAGACUCCUACGGGAGGCAGCAGUGGGGAAUAUUGCACAAUGGGCGAAAGCCUGAUGCAGCGACGCCGCGUGAGGGAUGACGGCCUUCGGGUUGUAAACCUCUUUCAGCAGGGAAGAAGCGAAAGUGACGGUACCUGCAGAAGAAGCGCCGGCUAACUACGUGCCAGCAGCCGCGGUAAUACGUAGGGCGCAAGCGUUGUCCGGAAUUAUUGGGCGUAAAGAGCUCGUAGGCGGCUUGUCACGUCGGUUGUGAAAGCCCGGGGCUU